AGCGGGGUAGAGUAAUGGUUACUCAAUAGGCUCAUAUCCUAUAUAAUGCGGGUUCGAAUCCCGUCCCCGCGA
rnacentral:tRNA from 1 species